rnacentral:rRNA from 1 species
ACACGACUACAUUAGAUACCCGUGUAGUCCUAGCCGUAAACGAUACUCGCUAGGUGUCGGCCACGGUGCGACCGUUGUCGGUGCCGUAGGGAAGCCGUGAAGCGAGCCACCUGGGAAGUACGGCCGCAAGGCUGAAACUUAAAGGAAUUGGCGGGGGAGCACCACAACGGGUGGAGCUUGCGGUUUAAUUGGAUUCAACGCUGGAAAUCUUACCGGGACCGACAGCAACAUGAAGGCCAGGCUGAAGACUUUGCCGGAUUAGCUG